rnacentral:misc_RNA from 1 species
ACAUUUUGUAUUUUAGUCUGAAAACACCGGAUGCACAAAGAAAUCUUCAGCAAUUAAAAAGGUAUCCAUUACAAGCCGAAACAGAAGAACGUCAACUGAAGAACGCGAUGGUAAAGAUGGCGACAGCGAAUCGAGAAGUUCCCGCCUGAUCUCCGCCUACCUAGCAGACGACAGCUACAACGCGGGAAAAGACAUCGUCAGAAAAGUGUCCAUAGAAGAGACAGUGUUUAAGCGGCCAGACAAGGAAAAAUGGUCUCCACAACUGUUACAGAAGAAGCAAUUCGGAUUUCUCCACCGGAAGUCAGCGAUGACGUCCCUCGUCGGAAGUUGUCCAAUAAAGGCGAAAAACAAAGACGUUCGUCGGAAGAGAGGAAAAAGAAGAAGGAGGAGAAAAAGGGGAAAAAUUCAAAAGAGGAAAAAUUCAGACGACAUUCCGGGGGAGAUCAGAGGAUAAAAAACGUCAGAAAGGUGACCCCGCAUUGAAAGAUCAUGGUCACGGAGCCGGGCGUGUGCUGUUUUAAGGAGCCGUGUCUCUCUCAGCUGGAGGAGGAAGACGAGGGCCGCACCUCCAUGGCAACCGACAAUAGCGACCACGUGUACUCAAGCACGUGCAGCCUACAGCGGCGGAUUUUCUCCUCUAUGUGCUAUUCCCCCGGCCCCGGGCACCACUUUGAUCCAAUCACAGAACUGUCCUGUGAAGAGGACGAUGGAGAAAGAAAAUGGCGGGAUAAACAGCGCUCAGUCAGCUGCACGUGACUUAUGUGUGAUUAUGAUUCCCGGGAGAGGAAGUUAGAUAUCGCAAAUAAAGGUCGUCACGAAAACGACAUUAUUUUACCAGAACAUCGCCGAAUUCCGUAAAAUUCUGUACGCAAACAAUAUUAGUCUUGAGAAUCUACAUAAUUUGAUCCCCGAAUGUUUAAAAACCCUAACUAAGUAGUGUAUUUCAUACCAGUCAUAUAUAAAAUGCAUAUAUUGAAACAAAUUUGAAGAGUGUGUCUACUGAAAAUGAGUGUUGCUGGAGAUUUUGAACUUUGAAAAGAAAGUUUGCUGCCUUGAAAUCUACGGGAGAAACAGUUUUUAAUGACUCGGUUUUAAUUUUUUGGUUAAAAAGAUAAUCUUCGAAUAAAUGUUGCAGAAACU